rnacentral:misc_RNA from 1 species
GAUGAAGAACCUAGCGAAAUGCGAUAAGUAGUGUGAAUUGCAGAAUUCAGUGAAUCAUCGAAUCUUUGAACGCACAUUGCGCCCCUUGGUAUUCCAUGGGGCAUGCCUGUUCGAGCGUCAUUUGUACCUUCAAGCUUUGCUUGGUGUUGGGUGUUUGUCUCGCCUUUGCGUGUAGACUCGCCUUAAAAUAAUUGGCAGCCGGCGUAUUGAUUUCGGAGCGCAGUACAUCUCGCGCUUUGCACUCAUAACGACAGCGUCCAAAAGUACAUUUUACACUCUUGACCUCGGAUCAGGUAGGGAUACCCGCUGAACUUAAGCAUAUCAAUAAGCGGAGGA